AUUCUCAUGGUGUAGUUAGCAACACGCCUGUCUAGUGAAUAGGAGUCAUGAGUUCGAGACUCACUGGGAGGA
rnacentral:tRNA from 1 species